UCAGUCGACUCCUACGGGGAGGCAGCAGUGGGGGAAUAUUGCACAAUGGGCGCAAGCCUGAUGCAGCCAUGCCGCGUGUGUGAAGAAGGCCUUCGGGUUGUAAAGCACUUUCAGUCGUGAGGAAGGUAGUGUAGUUAAUAGCUGCAUUAUUUGACGUUUAGCGACAGAAGAAGCACCGGCUAACUCCGUGCCAGCAGCCGCGGUAAUACGGAGGGUGCGAGCGUUAAUCGGAAUUACUGGGCGUAAAGCGCAUGCAGGUGGUUUGUUAAGUCAGAUGUGAAAGCCCGGGGCGUCAACCUCGGAAUUGCAUUUGAAACUAGGCAGACUAGAGUACUGUAGAGGGGGGUAGGAAUUUCAGGUGUAGCGGUGAAAUAGCGUAGAGAUCUGAAGGAAUACCGGUGGCGAAGGCGGCCCCCUCGGACAGAUACUGACACUCAGAUGCGAAAGCGUGGGGAGCAAACAGGAUUAGAUACCCUGGUAG
rnacentral:rRNA from 1 species